rnacentral:lncRNA from 1 species
AUGUGCCACCGCACCACUGUCUUCCAGGAAGUGAACGAGCAAAGUGUACUCUUUGGUGUUAGGAUGAAGAGAGUGAGGGAGAAGGGUAUUCCUGCACAACCGGAGGCUGCAGUUUCAGGACUGAAGUUCUUGGACCGCAGUUUUAGGACCCUCGUUUUUUUGUGACCGCGCCACCUACCGUACUGGAUCAACACUAAUUAAAGAUGGACGACGUGGACAGCAAUCAGACGGUGAGUACCGAUAUUUAAUUAAGUUUUAUUUUAUAACGUUUAAGCGGUGCGAAGUUUACAUACUGAGAACUGCUAACUGUGAAUUAAUAAUUAAUUCCCACCAAAUUAAGAAUUUGUGAGCUAGUUUUUACUACGACGUUAAUUCGUGGCCAUGAUUUCAUAAAUCCAUGUUGAGUUUUAGUGACGAAGUAUUAUAAGUGAAUCUACCCAGCACAUUAAUUAAACUUAUCCGAUGACAAGAGCAUGGUUGAUGUAUGGUUUGUAAGAUUUACCUGCAGCUUAAUGUAUUAGUGUGAAUACUGGCUUAGUCGUUGUUACCAUAUUUAUGUAUAAAAUAUCUUUCAUAAUUGAACUGCACUGACUGAUGUGUUAGCCUGUUGUUUUGGCAUUGUUUUGCAAUGAUGAAUGAGGCAUUUGGCAGUUUUAAUAGCUUGUUACAAUUUGGCCUAAUCUGCAGGCCUACUCCACACACAGUCCAUUGUUAUCAUGUGUUAGUUUCUGUCAUGUUCUGCAUGGCCAAUAUGAAGUGAUUUUAUGGAUUUGGUUAGGCCCAUUGUAGGACAGAUGAUUAUAAAA